rnacentral:rRNA from 1 species
CCUACGGGAGGCAGCAGUGGGGAAUUUUGGACAAUGGGCGCAAGCCUGAUCCAGCCAUGCCGCGUGAGUGAAGAAGGCCUUCGGGUUGUAAAGCUCUUUCGGUGAAGACGAAACGGUUAGUGUUAAUAACACUGACUAAUGACGGUACUCACAGAAGAAGCACCGGCUAACUACGUGCCAGCAGCCGCGGUAAUACGUAGGGUGCAGGCGUUAAUCGGAAUUACUGGGCGUAAAGCGUGCGCAGGCGGUUUGCUAAGACAGGUGUGAAAUCCCCGGGCUUAACCUGGGAAUUGCGCUUGUAACUGGCAAGCUAGAGUGUGGCAGAGGGGGGUGGAAUUCCACGUGUAGCAGUGAAAUGCGUAGAUAUGUGGAGGAACACCGAUGGCGAAGGCAGCCCCCUGGGUUAACACUGACGCUCAGGCACGAAAGCGUGGGGAGCAAACAGGAUUAGAUACCCCUGUAGUC